rnacentral:lncRNA from 1 species
AGAUUAUCAGAUUCAGAUCAAAAUCCAAUUCAUUGACAGCCCUAUAAACUAUAGUAUUUUAUAUUUGAAAUUCAUUAAUAUUGAAAGACUAUAUUAAUGAUGCUUUAAUUUAGUAUUUUGGCAACUUUAAUAUUUGUUGAUAGGUUGUCCCGAACCCACCAACCCAACCCGACCCGACCCGACCAACAUUCGGUGGGGUUGGGUUUCAAUCUUUACAUGGGUUGGGAUGGGUUGAAUGCUAAUCAAACCAAUCGUGUUGGGUUGGGACAAAACCCAACCCACGCCCACCCUAAUAACAAGAUAUGAUAUAAAGCUCAUAUUUACAUUAAGGUUAAUUUAAGUUCAUCAGGCGCCCAAAAAAAUAAAAUAAAAUAAAAUCCUUCCAAAGGUCCUGUUUUCACACUCAAUUGCUUGUAGCUAGUAAUACUACCAUCUCUUUUCUUUCAAAAUACACUACAAAGUGGAAAUUUCAAAGAUUCUUAGGUCCAAAAUUACAAUCACCCAACUUAAACAAAAUUAACCAAAGCAAUUCAACAUUAAAUUGAGCUUCUUGAGCUCUAUUCUCUCCCAUCAAAAUAAUUAUUUUCUGUCAAUCUGUUUGAUGUGCACAGAAGAGUUAAACAGUGGUUGCCAGUACGGAAUCAAAUCUGAACAAGAAGAGGACGCAAACAAAUUGCAAGAUGAUUUGAAGUGGGUGGAGUUGCAUGGAGAAAGCCCAAAAUAUCCAUAAAUGUCAAUGAAAUCAAGGAUAUUAAUUCACAAAUACUGCAACAUGUCAGAAUACUAGUACACCGCCCACAAAAGAUUAAAUUCUGAAUACAACUCCUCCAGAGGAAUAAGCAUAAAAUGAUCAUUAAUGGCUUUCCAUUAGAAACUUUUCCUAGUUAAAUUUACCCAUUUACAAGGAGUGUACCAUAAUUAAAACUCGCUCCAUUAUACCUGAGUUACAUUUUAUGUAUGUUGACCCGAUCUGACAUGUAAUUCCUUAAUAACAUUAACUCAGAGCUACCUUUUAACAAAUAUAUUCAACUUUUAUCAUGUUCUAGCGAGUAAACGUCCUUAAUGAAUAAUUGAACAUAAUCACAGAACAUAUAUAAAUAUAUUUCACUUUCUU